GCCCGAGUGGCCUAAUGGUUAAGGCUUCUGACUUCUAAUUAACAGGAGAUUCAUCAGAGGAUUGUGGGUUCGAGUCCCACCCCGGGCU
rnacentral:tRNA from 2 species